AUCCUAAAUGUUAAAAUUUCUAACAGCUUGCCAAAACAAUUGAAUAUCAUCUAAUUAGGCUAUCAAUACAUAUAUAAAACAUAUUUAAUAUAUUCAUUAAAAUUAUUUAAAAAUAUUGUACAAUAUAAUUUUGAAGUUUGAAGGCCCAUUGCUCCUUAAUAUACAAGCACACGUCUUUCAUCCGAAAUGCCUUUCAAUCUCUUUCGAUGUAAUUAAUCUUCCGUUGCAUUUACGGCUUGGCUUCAAUUCUCAACCGCACUCAAAAGUGCAACGCCCGAUCAGAGUCACCCGUCGCUGUCUCUGAGGUUGAGCAAAUGGCGCUGUGCUUUCCCUCAACGCCCAAGAAAUUGGCGACGACCGUUGCGUGCUUCGCGUCCAGCGUCGCCCUUUUCGCCUUUGGUUUGCACCUCUCCUAUGUCAACAUCGGCCCUCAACAAGCUCGAACCAAAGCUCGGAGCGAUUUCGUCAGAGAAAGAUUGAGAAAGAAGUACGGUUACAAAUAAUUAGAUGUAGUGUUCUUGCUGUUGCGAUUUCGUCAGAGAGAGAUUGUUUGUGGACGCUGCAGGUCGGAUGUAAUCGUUCUUGACAACGUCCUCGGUAUUUUCGCUGUUGGAAUUGCUUAUGAAAAUAAUUUUGCUGAAAUAUGUUAGAAUUCAAAAUGGUUUUAAGAUUCUCAUGCCAAUCCUUGAAACUACUAGUCAGAUCAAUUGGUUGAUGACCAAUGUUGAGAGUGCUUAAUAUACAAACUUUUUGUAUGCAUUGCAUUUCAGUUUUCUAAAAUUGUAAGGAUGAGACAUUGUUAGGGAAGAUCUUAUGAGAUUUUUGAAAUUUUAAAAAAGAUUUUGUUUCUUUCAACAAA